GGGCUGUGUCAGUAAUGACAAUAGCAGCAGACAGGAGUGCAGCAGAGAGGGGCUGUGUCAAGAGGAGGGGCUGUGUCAGUAAUGACAAUAGCAGCAGACAGAGGGGCUGUGAUGAGAGGGGCUGUGUCAGUAAUGACAAUAGCAGCAGACAGGAGUGGUGAUGAGAGGGGCUGUGUCAGUAAUGACAAUAGCAGCAGACAGAGGGGCUGUGAUGAGAGGGGCUGUGUCAGUAAUGACAAUAGCAGCAGACAGAGGGGCUGUGAUGAGAGGGGCUGUGUCAGUAAUGACAAUAGCAGCAGAGAGAGGGGCUGUGUCAGUAAUGACAAUAGCAGCAGACAGAGGGGCUGUGAUGAGAGGGGCUGUGUCAGUAAUGACAAUAGCAGCAGAGAGAGGAGGGGCUGUGU
ensembl:lncRNA